UACGUAGGGUGCGAGCGUUAAUCGGAAUUACUGGGCGUAAAGCGUGCGCAGGCGGUUUUGUAAGCCAGAUGUGAAAUCCCCGGGCUCAACCUGGGAAUGGCAUUUGGGACUGCAAGGCUGGAGUGCGGCAGAGGAGACUGGAAUUCCUGGUGUAGCAGUGAAAUGCGUAGAUAUCGUAAGGAAGACCAGUGGCGAAGGCGAGUCUCUGGACAGUUACUGACACUGAGGCACGAAGGCCAGGGGAGCAAACGGG
rnacentral:rRNA from 1 species